rnacentral:lncRNA from 1 species
ACUUUCUAAUUCACAUAUCAAAUCAGAUACAUGCAAUAAGAAACCAAGAGUGCAUACGCCGUUUUUAAAAUGAAUCAGAAAUAGUAAAUCCUGAUUGAGAAAUCAGAUUGAAAGUAAGUUUCUGAAAUUCUCAAAAUGAUUUAUUUUUUCAUCAUCAAUUUUCCUUUCAGAAUCUGGGCAUCACGGUGCGGUACAUGCAAAAUGGUCAAAUUAACCUGCGAGUGGGAAAAGUUAGACAGUUUGCCAAUGUACUGCCGAACUGGGGAAAUGACAGGAUGUUACCUAUGUACUAUUUCCAAAGAACCGGAGAUAACCUACCGAAGGUGAACUUCAAGACGAUGUACGACGCUCAAGUGGUAUUCGCCGAUAUCGAGUUUUUGCUCAAGUGGCUGUUCCUGACCACGGCGUUUCUCAGUGGCCUUGUGUGCGCCUACCUCAUCUCAAGGACGAGGAUUGCCAAGAAAGCCGAGGCUAAGUUUGCGUUGAAAUGAUCAACCAAAACCUCCGCAGCUCAACCGUAUUUAUUAGUUUUUUUAUAUUGAAAUGGAUCUAAUUAUAUCUUCAAGUUGAUAUCCACAAACCACCGCUUUUAACGGAACGCCACGUUUUUGGCAAGUUUAAACUAUGAAUGGUGCAACGGAAAAAUUUGAAGUUUUAUAAUUCAUAAUUUUGGAUGGGAAACGGAAGGCACAACGGAAAUUUUAACAUAAACUCCUCGAUGUACUAUUAUAAUGUCCUUUACAAUAGAUGCUUUAAUUUAUGAGAGUUUGUGGUACUGAAUUGUGUGCGAUAUUCUUCAAACGGAAUGAUCGUGGGGUCAAACAUUUUGCCCAAAUAAGGUAUUUUCAAGAUAUUUAAAGAUAUUUUAUGAUCGAUUCAAGCACGAUUAAAUUUGUUCUCCUUACUGCGUAAAUAUAUUCUAAUAUUUAAUGGAAAAGCCCCUUCAUUCAAUUUCAAAGUUGGAAACUGUCACCAGUUGUCAAGUUUUUUCCCGCAAAAUUAAAUUUUUGAAAUUUCCGUUGUUUCCGACAUUUCCUUCACGAAAUCCAAAAAUCUCCAACACGGUUUUUUUACAAUCUGGUCUACUGAUCAAUGUAUUCGACUAGUCAUUCGGUCAAUCGGGGUUAGUUCAAAUAAGUUAGACUAAAAAUUGCUCGUUUUUCCAAACAAAUUGAGUCAAUUCAAAUUGGAUACUGUAUCGACACUUUGAUAUUCCUGUUAAUUUUACAAGUUCUGAAGUCCAUCUACUGUCAUACGUAGAUAAAUGAGUGCCGCCAGGACUAUUUACUUCGGAAGAGCGUUUGUCCCUUAGUUUUACAAUUAAUCUUUAAACUUUGAACUUUGUUUGUAUGAGAAUAAUUUAGGAUUGUCCUAAACAAUCAAUAUUUUUAUCUCCAGUUUUGGUUGAUAAUUUGAAACGAUCGAAAUGAUGAACUGACCCCUUGAUCUGAAACGACAUCAUACAUUCAGAGAUUCUCUGUGCGGAAGGGUCUACAAGAGAGACAUAACCUUUUGAUAUAUUCUAGUAUUUAACGCUAAUAACUCACUAUUGAUUUGGUCCCAGAAUUAAACCAAUCGAACGAGGUAUAUCUAAGAUACCGAGAGGAUUUUUUCAUCGCGAGGAAGUUAGAGUUUACCGCUUAUUUAUGCACUUUCAAUUCAACAUACUCGUAUGACAUUAAUACUCUCUUCAUUUCCAUUGAACAUCGCUCUCUUUCUUUACACUUGUUGUUUUUACGAUACAGUUCUCCAUUUUCACAUAUAAACCUCGCAAUCUGAUUUUUCACUAUCAUAUUUCUCAACCGCUUUUUACGAGCUGAUUUGAUUUCAGCCAGAUUCCUCUGGCCUUCCGUCUGGUCUCUCUAGAGGAUCCUUUCAGACGGCAAUAAAUAUCUAAUUCUGAUAUUCAUAUAUGAGGAUUCUGUCGUCAUGGACUGACAAUGUGAAGAUAAAGGAAACCAGUGAAAACCCUUUGGUUUUUUGUAAAUAAGUGUACAGUGUAGCUUCAAGUUUGUUAGUUUAGUCCUUAGGUAGGAGAUAAGUUCGUCAAUCCACAUUUCCUGUGGUGUUUUUACCAACUGUUUGUGAUCUAAGUUAAUUUCUAUUAAUUUUAAUGGUGCAUCCUUUUGAGUCAUAGUCUUUUGAAUACUCUUGCCACAUUUCUCAUUUUUUCUGUAUUUUUCAGCCAAGCCAUCUUCAUUUAAUAUUUAGCGUACUUAUUUAUUAAUUGAUUUACUAAGAAUGUAAGUUGUAUUUGAUAUACCUGCCAUACAUUUUUAUGCGCAAUACUAAGCGAUUGGUUCCAAUUGCCUCUGAGUAUAAUUUUAUACAUUUAUAUACAACUUUUUCAAAAUAUGAAUUUAAAUCAAGUUUAGUCGUUUCUUGGUUUCUAAGAUGUUGAUCUACACGAAAGAAGUACGUGUUAAGGUUAAGCACAAGCUGAAAUUUUGUACUAACUCAUUUACUUGCAUUAGUCAUUCAUUAAUUGCAGUUUUCUGUCCAAAUUUUUAGCUCACAUCUAUGCUUUGGCAAGAAAUAUACGUUUACAAGCCAAUUUUAGGUAUGCUGAUAAAAUUUGGGCAUGAGUUCAAUGUAAUAUAUGUCCUUUUUAUUCGGAUUUUUCGUAUGAUUUACAAUUUUAGUAAUUAAUGAUGCUAAUAAUUUCAGACCAAACCCUUCUGAAUUCAUCAAAAUGGUAGGAUGAUACAAUAAAUUGUUAUUUAUUGAUUUCUGUAAGGUCUGGACAAAAAUUAAUAAAAUAUCUUGUACAUGCUCAUCCAUUGUGAAUUCAUCCUCAUCUUUCCCUUUUCUUUGUGUUUGUGAUGCAUUCAUUUUUUCGACCGACACGUUAGUAAUAUUGCUGCAUAAAAUUGUUGAAGAAAAUUUUCUGGCGAGCAAAGAAAAAACUUACCCAAAGAUACUGAUUUCACCAUAAGUUUAUGAUCAGGUGACUGCAGACAAUAUUUCAUACACUGACCUUCAAAAUGAAUAAAAUGUGUAUUUACUACCGCACACUUGUUCACGUUUAAUCCUUUUCUGGUUUUCCUACUUAGACUGCGUUUUCCCACGAGAAAAAACUAUUCUUUGAUUAUUUUGGAAACAAGAUAUAGGUGACUAUUUUUUCUAUGUACGCAGACUUGUGCUUUUUGGAUAAAUCAGGACUAGUGGUAUACCCUUGGAAAAGUUAUGCAUUGUAUCACUGUGCAACAAGAUUUUGCUUAUAAAUUUCACUAGAAUAUCCAAGGACUGGAAGUCUGGAAAUCAACGCCUAUAAUUUAGAGAUGUAUAAGUGUUCGUUUGCAAAAAGUAUUGCAGAAAUUUCCAUAUAUUCUGUUCAAAAAAUACUUUUUGAUAUUUCGUUCAAAACUUUACUUUUUGAUGUUCCGUUCGGUUCUGUUUCCGUUCUCCCCAUUUUUUGAAUCAUUUUAGAGUAAGAUUUUAAAGAUGGAACAUGUGACGUUCUCUCCAGUUCAGACCUCAUCUGGUGGCGGUCCAGCAUAGCCCAAUUAAUUAUUGUAUGAAUUCACAAAAAUCAGAGAUGUACGCUGAAAGAUCCAAAAUUUGCCUUCAAUUAGUAACGUAUGCAAGCGUGCUACCGUGAGUGCAUUUCGUAACUGUUUGGAUCUAAUCACGCCAAAACUCUUCUUAUUUAGCAUACUUCUUCUGAUUUAACUACAAUUAGUCUCACAAUUUCAGACGUUGCUUAAUUUUCUCUGAUGCUUUAUUAUUGAAACAAACGAAUAAAUAAUUCUGGAAAUUAAAAUUUCAUGAGUAUUUGCGAAGUGCUCACCUCUACAUCAUCGGUCGUCAUCAGGCAAAUGUUUAUUUUUUGCUUAAAAAGUCAUUCAUCAAUCAUCAUUAGGCGAAUAUUAGCGUUUAUCUCCGAAUUCAUUUUCCACCUUCCCUCUCGAUUACCAUCAAUUCUCAAAAACUUCCGUGAUUUUUCUUCUGUGUGCAAAGUAAAUUCUGAAAAAGAACUUCAAGGAAUGAUUUUAAUUUGUUCCCCUUCAAAAAAAUAAAAAGAGAGUGGACAUUUCUAAACACUGCAAACAAAUUACGUGGUUUGGAAGUUUCUCUGUCAAGAUUAUCCCUGCCUUUAAGAACUUUGCGUGCAAAUAGGACCGAAAAUUUGCGAGGCACAUAUUUGAGUGGAUCUUCAAUGCGUAUUUUGUAACUGAACACUAGACAUUAACAACAAGCCAACAAGGAUUAAUAUUAAUCAAUUUUACUAGCAGAAUUGGGGGUAUAUUAUGGGCCAUCGCCUCAUCGCCACAUCAUGAUACCCCAAAACGAUCGGGUCCGAUAUUCGAGACUUUUCAUCGUUCGAUGGUGAAGAGUUACUGAGCCUCAACUCAACACGUUGAGGGGUCGAAUUUUAUAAGGAGGGCCAUUUAGAGCCGUUAUUAACUGCAGCUGUUCACCUGCUUGUACUAUGUACACACCCGCAGUGAGAGCCAUGCUUGAGUUUAUCGAUAACGCCGCGUUGUCAUGUGGAUAUUGAUAAGACCGUAUGUUUGCAUGCAACAGAGGAGACGCAUUUUGCAUCAAACUCGAUUAAUUUGCAUUAGCUUUUUAGAGGGCAUAACUCAUCGUCGAACGACAACGUCAAAUAUUUUCAACGGCCAAAAGUUUUUUGGGGAAAAAACAAAUUCAUCAAUUUUACCUUCCUGAAAAAAUGAAUGGUUGCUGUUAAAAUGCUAACUGUCAAUACUAAGUCUCCCCUAUACUCUUCAGGGGUAAUGUACCUCUGAUCAAUGUAUGAACCCCUAAAACACUAUGCAACAUAAUUCAACUUUAGAACUGCACGAAGGAAAACAAAUUGUACAUCGGGAAUUUUAAAAUCAACCCAUAAACAAGAUAUAAAUCGAUGGUCAAAACGAUGAAGAUGCAAUCGGCGUGAUAUAUGUAAUCUAACUUCCUUUUGGAAUAUAUUUUGCAAAUAGGAACUACUAAAUGGACGACGGUUUGCAAAAAGGAGACACUAUUUUUGACUCACCCACAAAAAAGACCUAUCUGCAAGAGAUAAUUGAUAUGGUGCGCGUGUUUUUUUCUAUAAUGAGAAAGAAAUAGAGGUUCCUUGUUGCAAACUGUAAUAUAAUUCUGGCACGAUUGUUUUUAUUUUCAUUACUAUUACAUUAGUUUGAAAAUGUUCCGUGGAAAAGUUCAUUGAAGUUCGAAAAACAAAAACAAAAAUCGUAAAAAAACCAUUAAACAAUUACACAGACAGCGAGUGCUAUAUUUUCUUUGUUUCUUCUUUCUCCACAGUAGAAUACUAACAG